rnacentral:rRNA from 1 species
UACGAAGGGUGCAAGCGUUAAUCGGAAUUACUGGGCGUAAAGCGUGCGUAGGCGGUUGGCUAAGUCAGAUGUGAAAGCCCUGGGCUCAACCUGGGAAUGGCAUUUGAAACUGGUCGGCUAGAGUGUGAUAGAGGAUGGCGGAAUUCCCGGUGUAGCGGUGAAAUGCGUAGAGAUCGGGAGGAACAUCCGUGGCGAAGGCGGCCAUCUGGAUCAACACUGACGCUGAGGCACGAAAGCGUGGGGAGCAAACAGG